AUGCCCCAAGAGGCUGCUGCUGCACCAAACGCCGUCGAUGAACAGGUUGCUGCAGGGGUCGGAAUCGAGUACGAGGAUGAGGCCUCUGCCUCCAACAUCACCACGGAUGCCACGGAACUGCCGCCUCCUCCACCGGUGUACGCGUCCAUGGAGUGGAUGCUUGCCGGACCAAGCGCCGGAUGGCUUGUCGAUGACCCAGAUCGCUACUUCUCCGACGAGGAACUCGCAGCGCCGCCUCCGCCGCUGAUGUACUCUUGCCCAGGCUACGGGUACGGAUCGGGCCUCCCGUCCCCCACGCCAUCUGACGAGGACCCGGAGCACUUCAAGCCGCCGGGCUACGACCCACUGCCGGAGUUCUCCUCGCCGCCUGCUGCAGUCCCUCUGGACGCGCCCAAGCCCCGACUCGUCAUCAACCUCCUGCCGAAGGUGAAGACGGAGGAGAUCGAGGCCGCUGCGCCGACGCUCGCUCUCCCAGCGCGCCGCGACCUCAACCUCCCGGCGCUGGAAGUUGAGGAGGAGGAGCACCAGGUAGCAGCGCGGCCGUCCGCACUCCCGACGCCCUCGCCGGAAGCCCGUGUGCUCCUCCGCCGCUUUGCAUCAGCCAUGGCUGUCCGCCCCGCUGGAACCCGCGCCUGUCACCCGUGA
rnacentral:rRNA from 1 species